AUUGAACGCUGGCGGCAUGCCUUACACAUGCAAGUCGAACGGUAGAGUAGCAAUACUCGAGAGUGGCGAACGGGUGAGUAACAUAUCGGAACGUGCCCAAUCGUGGGGGAUAACGUAGAGAAAUUUACGCUAAUACCGCAUACGAUCUAAGGAUGAAAGCGGGGGAUCGCAAGACCUCGCGCGAUUGGAGCGGCUGAUAUCAGAUUAGGUUGUUGGUGAGGUAAAAGCUCACCAAGCCGACGAUCUGUAGCUGGUUUGAGAGAACGACCAGCCACACUGGGACUGAGACACGGCCCAGACUCCUACGGGAGGCAGCAGUGGGGAAUUUUGGACAAUGGGCGCAAGCCUGAUCCAGCAAUGCCGCGUGCAGGAUGAAGGCC
rnacentral:rRNA from 1 species